CCUACGGGGGGCAGCAGUAGGGAAUAUUGCUCAAUGGGGGAAACCCUGAAGCAGCAACGCCGCGUGGAGGAUGAAGGUUUUCGGAUUGUAAACUCCUUUUGUUAGAGAAGAUAAUGACGGUAUCUAACGAAUAAGCACCGGCUAACUCCGUGCCAGCAGCCGCGGUAAUACGGGGGGUGCAAGCGUUACUCGGAAUCACUGGGCGAAAAGAGCGCGUAGGCGGGAUAGCAAGUCAGAUGUGAAAUCCUAUGGCUUAACCAUAGAACUGAAUUUGAAACUGUUAUUCUAGAGUAUGGGAGGGGAAGGUGGAAUUCUUGGUGUAGGGGUAAAAUCGGUAGAGAUCAAGAGGAAUACUCAUGGCGAAGGCGACCGGCUAGAACAAAACGAACGC
rnacentral:rRNA from 1 species